rnacentral:tRNA from 1 species
GAGGAUUAGCUCAGUUGGGAGAGCAUCUGCCUUACAAGCAGGAGGUCACAGGUUCGAGCCCUGUAU